CACACUGAGGAUUGACAGGUAUUAUAUAGCGCGCUUGCGCGUCUAUUGUUAAAUAUGCUAGUCCUUUCAUGAUUAUGUGAUAGGUGGUGCAUGGCCGUUCUUAGUUCGUGGAGUGAUCUGUCUGCUUAAUUGCGUUUCAGAUAAGGAUCUAUAUUCUUUACAGAAGUGUUGCGUUGUGCAUUUGACCCCUCGUUCGCGAGUGCGUGUCUUUUCGCGCUCGCACGCUUUUUACAUUAGGUCCUGAAAGCAACGAACGUGACCGCAACCUCUUGUUGCCUCAUCUCCCUACUUUUUAGCACUUCGGUGUUAAUAAUUUCAUUGAGGCUUUCCAAAACUAGAGGGACCGCUGUCAACUUCUUAAACCAGAGGAAGGUUGCGGCAAUAACAGGUCUGUGAUGCCCUUAGAUGUUCCGGGCUGCACACGUGCUACAAUGAUUGUUGCAGUGAGCAUCUCAAUUUUUUACCUAACACCGCACACGUGAGUGCAUACUUGUAUGUUACUUUACGCAGCGGUAAAGCCUGCUUCGAGAGCAAGUGGGUAAUCAAUUAGAAGUAACGAUUUCCCAAAUUAGCACACUUAUAUGCGGCGUUUGCGCCCGGGUGCCACUUGUUGGUACUUCUGUGCGUGCAGAUG
rnacentral:rRNA from 1 species